CGCAGCCGCGGUAAUUCCAGCUCCAAUAGCGUAUAUUAAAGUUGUUGCAGUUAAAAAGCUCGUAGUUGAAUUUCGGGAUUGGCGCAUCGGUCGUGCCUCACGGGGUAUGAACUGGUGCAGUCAAUUUCUCACCUUCUGGAGAACCGCGAUGUCCUUAAUUGGAUGCCGCGGGGAACCAGGACCUUUACUUUGAAAAAUUAGAGUGUUUAAAGCAGGCAUUUUUGCUUGAAUACAUUAGCAUGGAAUAAUAAAAUAGGACGGCAUGGUUCUAUUUUGUUGGUUUCUAGGACCACCGUAAUGAUUAAUAGGGAUAGUUGGGGCAUUAGUAUUCAAUUGUCAGAGGUGAAAUUCUUGGA
rnacentral:rRNA from 1 species